GCUUGUUUUAACUAUGGAUUUGACUUUACUUCAAGCUAACAACGUCACGUGGUUAUCCAACGUCACUCUAAAUGUGACGUCAAGUUCAGAUGCAGACAUAGGGUAUUUGACCACAAUGCGGUUCCUGCUGUUCCCGUUGGCGGUCGGGCUUAGCUUUGCCAUAGGACUUGGCUGCAAUAUCAUCAGGAGACGAUGCAGCGGGGAGAGUGGCUAUGAUUUGGUGGACUACCUUUGAGGACAGGAGUUUCCUGAAAACCUACAAAAAGAUGCGACCGAAGGUAUUGAUCAAAUAAUUGUACACACGUGUAUAUUCUAGCAACAUAGUUUAUCAAGAUUCAGUACAUGCUGCGUACUAUAAAUUUAUUACAGAGAACCGAUAGUUGUUUUGAUAAAAUUGUCGUUUUUUUCAUGUGUUGGUAAAAUAGAUGAUUACGUUUCUCAU